AAAUAAGUCAUUCAUAGCCUUUGCAUUUAAAGAAAAAUUCUUCUUCUCCAAAUUAUUCCAAUAGUUCAUUGGAAGAGAAGACUUUUUAAAACCAAAUUCGACUAUAUGUCAUAAAUCGAGAUUCAAUGAAAGCGAAAAAACUCUCAUUCGAGUUUUCCAAUAAGUGUAGUCUAUCCCAUUGAAAAAGGAGGAAAUAUGAGAGAGUGACUCUCUUGAAAGCCAAAAAGAGUCAUUUCUCUUGGGUGUUAAACCAACUGAGAAAUCAUGAGGCUCUGAUACCAAUUAUUAGGAUCAGGGGUCGACACUAAGGGGGGGGUGAAUUAGUGCAAUGGUAAAAUCACAUCUUAAAAAACCUUCGUAUGUUGAAAACUGAUUCUUCGGAAACUUAACUUAAACACGUUCGUAAAUGAAUUGAAGGCAGUAAGCAAUUAAAGAGGUUUGCAGUAAGUAAAUGGCAGGAAGUAAAUGCAAACCAGAGAACACGCCAAUUUUAUAGUGGUUCGAUCGUCGUGACCUACAUCCACUCCACUGAUUCCUCUUCCGUCGAGGCCAUCGACAUCCACUAUCGGUCUUCGUUCAAUAAGCGAAGACCAACCACCUUUUACACCCCUCUUCUCCUUUUCAUGGGUUUAGGAGACAACCCUUACAAGCACUCACUCUCCUCUUACAGAAUUCUAAACUUAGAAUGGAGGAGGGAAUUUCUAAAGAGAUUGCAGCAACGUUUCUUCUCUUUUAAAUACUCUGUCCU
rnacentral:lncRNA from 1 species